rnacentral:sRNA from 1 species
AGAAUGUUAACCCCCUGGCAUGUAUCUAGUCAGCGGAGGCGACGGCUGCUGCUAAACACCUUACAAUCCACGGGAGGGCCCCUCCCCUACCCCGAAGUAGCCAUUCCGCAGAGGUGGAGAGACUCGCGUGUAGCUCAAUACCCACGCACUUAGCCGAUGGGAAAUCACGAAUUGAUGACCAGUUGGCUCUUGGAUCUGAGGAAAAAUCUCCAGCGUCAGAGGGAACUCUCGAAGUUUUGCCCGGAGCAAACGGAAGGGUGGCGUUGCCAUCGCCUAAGAUGGGAAAAUGGCAGGUGUCACAGGUUGCAGGGGAAGGUCGGAGACCAGCUGAGGGCCCCGGAGCCUUCCUGGAAAGAGUUUCCCAUCCAGCCCGUCUCGGUUUCCGCAUCCGUCGGAUUCCUUAUGACGUUGAGGGUGCUGGCGUCUGGGUCCUUUAUGAUGCAGAGGGUGCCCCCGUCUCACCCCGGGCGCCUCCGCGCUCCCGCCUCCUCCUGGCAACCUGGUGCGCGGCUCCGGACCCGGCGACCCACGACCGGCUGGUCACUUGCUGCCGCCUCGCAAAGGCGCAUCUCUAGUCCAGUGGUGAGCUGCGGCCGGGUCGCUGCAACUCGCUCCAGGACUCGGGACUCGUGGCCUUGGUGUCCCUCGCGGAGCCCUCGGUGUGUCGCCUGCAGGCUCUUUUUUUGAAGAAAGCAGGGAGGGAAUGGCCUUGUGAGAGACUCCAGGAGCAAAGAGCGACCCUCACAAAGCCCAAGUCGUCCCAGAGCUCAGGGAAGCUGUCGCUUCUGACGGAAGAAGGGAGAGAAAGCUCCCUCCUGUGUGUCCCUGGUG